rnacentral:rRNA from 1 species
GACGAACGCUGGCGGCGUGCUUAACACAUGCAAGUCGAACGGAAAGGCCCUGCUUUUGUGGGGUGCUCGAGUGGCGAACGGGUGAGUAACACGUGAGUAACCUGCCCUUGACUUUGGGAUAACUUCAGGAAACUGGGGCUAAUACCGGAUAGGAGCUCCUGCUGCAUGGUGGGGGUUGGAAAGUUUCGGCGGUUGGGGAUGGACUCGCGGCUUAUCAGCUUGUUGGUGGGGUAGUGGCUUACCAAGGCUUUGACGGGUAGCCGGCCUGAGAGGGUGACCGGCCACAUUGGGACGGAGAUACGGCCCAGACUCAUACGGGAGGCAGCAGUGGGGAAUAUUGCACAAUGGGCGGAAGCCUGAUGCAGCAACGCCGCGUGCGGGAUGACGGCCUUCGGGUUGUAAACCGCUUUCGCCUGUGACGAAGCGUGAGUGACGGUAAUGGGGAAAGAAGCACCGGCUAACUACGU